rnacentral:lncRNA from 1 species
GCCGCAGCCCUUGCAUUAUGCGCAAAGCACAUCUGAUUUCAGAUUUUUAGGCGUACGUUGAUUUUUUUUUUUUUCAUUUGAUUAGGAGCAUGCAUCUUUAUUCGUUGUUUCAAGUUUUCAGACUAAUCUAUUCCUUUUGAAAUAGUAACGUUGACGAUGCCUAUAUCUUAUACUCAAAAGGAAGCUGUCUUAAACCAAUAAUUGUAGAUUUAGUUUCAGUACACUAAAUGUUUGAUUCGUUUUCAGUAUUUGAGUAUUUUUUAAAGGUUUAUACGAGUUUCAAUUAUGAUCACCUAUAUGAAAAUAAUCUUAGAACAAUAACAUUUCAAUAAUUUUGAGAUCAAUAUUUCGACAAGAUAAAUAUAGUAUAUCCCAUUAUAAUUAAAUUUUAUCAUAGAGGUGAUUUUAAUAUAAUAUAUUGAAUAUUAUUAUGGUACAUAUUAAUAUUAAUAUUAAUAUAUAAAUAACCCAUUAUUUUAUCAUAAAGGUGAUUUUAGUAUAUGUUGAAUAUUUAUUCUGGUGCAUAUUAAUAUUAAUAUAUAAUAAGCAGCGAUGUAAAUAAAUAAUUUUAAAAUGAAAUAUUAUAUAGAGAAGAACCUUUUUUUUUCUUAUUUAACGAACCCUUGUUUUGGUGGGGAAGGAUCGAAUAGUUUGCAUGGUUGACCUUCAUGCACUAGAAUAGAAGUUCUACGUUUUUUUUAACAAUAACUUCUACGUUGUAACUAUGUAUUAUAACUACUGUAUUAUUUAUUACUCCAUUGAUACCAAAAAUACACAUAUGAGAGAACAUAUGAGCUGUUCUCACAACUCAACAUUCCUCAUAUAUAUAUAUAUAUAUAUUAUAUGAAAUUUAAAUAAUCCUCUCUGUCAUUUCUGUUGGUUGGUUUUUGCCCUAAGGUACAAGUCUAAGUAGAGAAAAAAGUGAAGAAGAGGGCCUAACUCAUACGGUCGUUGUCGAUCGUUUGUCA